UCUUCUACAGGCUUUCACUCACAGAUGAAACAUUCUGUUGGAUUUAAGUCCAAUCCAGGUUACCAGAGUUCUGCACAAAACUGUAAACAUAUUGUGUGACUGCAGUUUGGUUUUCAGUCAGUUAUAUUCCUCUGGGUCUUCAGUGGUAUUGCACAUAAAGAAGCAGAAGCGAGAACAAGCCAUGUACGACUGUUACCAUAAUUUUCCCACGUGCUAUUUUUAUGAAAACACAGAAAAAGUAACCCGUUAUUCCAUCUUCCUCAUCACUGGUGCAUGUGUGGGUUUUCCAGCUCUGCUUUGGACUUUCAGUAUUCUGUACCAACAUCAUAAGAGUGGAGGUGGAAUCUCAGUCAACACCAUUUUCCUCCUAAUCAGUGACCUGCUGGAGCUGAUUCUGAGUCCAGUUGUAAUAUACAUUUGCAAAGCAGACAAUAUUUGUAUAAUUUUGAGAGCACUGUUAUUGGGAGCGAGGCUCUGUGGGCAUCUACUUCACCAGCUGGUGACAUUAGAAAGCAUUCUUACUCAAAAAUUUCCAUCAUCACAUGCUGUUAUUUUCUUCCCAUCCUUCGCUAUUUUUACCCUAUGCAUCUUUGCAUCUGUAUUUGCAAUUGGGUGCCGGAUCCUUCCAAGAUAUUUUUUUGAAAUGAAUAUAUUUUUAUCAGCAAUGCCUGUAUUUGUGUGUGUAGUCACAUGUAUAGUGACUUAUAAUGUCUCUCCUGACACCAACCAGGCCACAGACAGGAAGCCAGACAUGUUAGUGCUAAGUGUUGCCAUGUUUACUCUGAUCAUUUUAUAUGUGCCAUUUUUCUUGAAUUGUUUUUUUAAUCUACCUUUUAUGUUGGAGGUUCUAGUGAGUAUGAGACUGAUUUCAGAGCCCCUCCUCUGUGUUCUUGUCUGCAGGAAAAAUCAUUUGGUUCAAACCAAAGCAUAUUUUGCAGCACAGUAAUAAAUUCUAUAUACAAUCCCAAUUCCAAAAAAGUUGGGACACUGUAUAAAACCUCAAUAAAAACAGAAUGUGAAGAUUUGCAAA